GGUUCUAUGGCGCAAUUGGUUAGCGCGUCCGGCUGUUAUUCUUGUGAGAGUUCAAUAAACCGGGAGGUUGAAAGUUCGAGUCUUUCUAGUACCG